UGCCUUUCCCAACCAACCAACUGACUAAAACCAACCAACUAUCCACAACCUAAACCUCGGGCUAAGCCCUUUUAUAAACAGGUAGGCUCCGCCUCCAGCUUUCCUAUUGGUCCACAUACUAACCCUUUCUCUCCCCCUGUACAGACAUUUUCAAACGAACGGGCAAACGCCACAUCUGCCAAUUGCAGUAUAGCCUUUGAGACUUUGAAAGCUGCUGCCACUUUUACAUGUAUAUGUAUAUAUGUGUGUGUGUGAUCAUGUUCACUUUGUAUAGGAGUAUUGCAUGGAGUAUACUUGGGGGGGAUUUGCAUAAGACGUUGACAGCUUGAAACAUUUCAAGGACUACUGCAAUUAUGUCUGAAGAAAACGUCUAACUGCAGUGUGACAACAGUAAGAUUUGUCGCAUUUGUUAGUGGCUGAACCAAAAGCCAUUUAUAAAAAAUUUGUGUAUGAAUAAAUGUUGCCUCCUUGUGA